GAACCGACUAAUGUUGAAAAAUUAGCGGAUGACCUGUGGCUGGGGGUGAAAGGCCAAUCAAACCGGGAGAUAGCUGGUUCUCCCCGAAAGCUAUUUAGGUAGCGCCUCGUGAAUUCAUCUCCGGGGGUAGAGCACUGUUUCGGCUAGGGGGCCAUCCCGGCUUACCAACCCGAUGCAAACUGCGAAUACCGGAGAAUGUUAUCACGGGAGACACACGGCGGGUGCUAACGUCCGUCGUGAAGAGGGAAACAACCCAGACCGCCAGCUAAGGUCCCAAAGUCAUGGUUAAGUGGGAAACGAUGUGGGAAGGCCCAGACAGCCAGGAUGUUGGCUUAGAAGCAGCCAUCAUUUAAAGAAAGCGUAAUAGCUCACUGGUCGAGUCGGCCUGCGCGGAAGAUGUAACGGGGCUAAACCAUGCACCGAAGCUGCGGCAGCGACACUUUAGUGUUGUUGGGUAGGGGAGCGUUCUGUAAGCCGUUGAAGGUGUCCUGUGAGGGGUGCUGGAGGUAUCAGAAGUGCGAAUGCUGACAUAAGUAACGAUAAAGCGGGUGAAAAGCCCGCUCGCCGGAAGACCAAGGGUUCCUGUCCAACGUUAAUCGGGGCAGGGUGAGUCGACCCCUAAGGCGAGGCCGAAAGGCGUAGUCGAUGGGAAACGGGUUAAUAUUCCCGUACUUGGUGUUACUGCGAAGGGGGGACGGAGAAGGCUAUGUUGGCCGGGCGACGGUU
rnacentral:rRNA from 1 species